rnacentral:tRNA from 1 species
AGUAAUAAAAAAAAAUUAAACUGUAAAUUUAAAAAAGACAUAAAUAGUCUAUUACUA